rnacentral:tRNA from 1 species
GAGAGAUGGUCGAGUGGUUUAAGGCGGCGGUCUUGAAAACCGCAGAGGCGCAAGCCUCCGGGGGUUCGAAUCCCCCUCUCUCC